UACGUAGGGUGCAAGCGUUGUCCGGAAUUAUUGGGCGUAAAGAGCUCGUAGGCGGUCUGUCGCGUCUGCUGUGAAAACUCGGGGCUUAACCCCGGGCCUGCAGUGGGUACGGGCAGACUAGAGUGCGGUAGGGGAGACUGGAAUUCCUGGUGUAGCGGUGAAAUGCGCAGAUAUCAGGAGGAACACCGGUGGCGAAGGCGGGUCUCUGGGCCGAGAUUGACGCUGAGGAGCGAAAGCGUGGGGAGCGAACAGG
rnacentral:rRNA from 1 species